rnacentral:rRNA from 1 species
GGAAUUGACGGGACCCCGCACAAGCGGUGGAUUAUGUUGUUUAAUUCGACGCAACGCGAAGAACCUUACCAGGCCUUGACAUACCGGACAAAACCAUAGAGAUAUGGUGGAGGUUGAAGGAUACAGGUGGUGCAUGGUUGUCGUCAGCUCGUGUCGUGAGAUGUUGGGUUAAGUCCCGCAACGAGCGCAACCCUUGUCUUUAGUUACCAUCAUUAAGUUGGGGACUCUAGAGAGACUGCCGGUGAUAAACCGGAGGAAGUGGGGAUGACGUCAAAUCAUCAUGCCCCUUAUGGCCUGGGCUACAAACGUAAUACAAUGGCGUAUACAAAGGGAUGCGAAAGAGCGAUCUGGAGCAAAACUCAUAAAGUACGUCUCAGUUCGGAUUGAAGUCUGCAACUCGACUUCAUGAAGCUGGAAUCGCUAGUAAUCGCGGAUCAGCAUGCCGCGGUGAAUACGUUCUCGGGGUUU